UACCGUGGGGGGAAAGUUGAAAAGAACUUUGAAGAGAGAGUUCAAGAGUACGUGAAACCGUUCAGGGGUAAACCUGAGAAACCCAAAAGAUCGAAUGGGGAGAUUCAUCGUCAGCCUCUUUGGCUUCCGUGCGGAUCGCGAUGAUCGAGACUUCGGUCUCGCGUCACGCGUUCGCUGCGGUAUGUCCGAGGUGGUCGGCGUGCACUUCUCCCCUAGUAGGACGUCGCGACCCGUUGGGUGCCGGCCUACGGCCCGGUUGGUCGACUGGCGAGUUGCGUUCACGCGUGUACUUGUCAGACCACUGGAUGCCCGGCCUGCUGCCCGGCGGUAUAGAAUCUACAUUGAACGGUAUUGGGCCGCAUUUAUGUGCGUUCAGGCUCGUCGGCAGGCUCGCCUCGCUCGGAUUUACGGACCUAGCGCCGUUGCCGGGCGCUUGGCGCGGCCGUUAGUCGACGAUGUCCUCGGACUGGCUCUUUUUAUAUUCGAACGGAUAUACCGGUCGGCGACGCUACUGCUUUGGGUACUUUCAGGACCCGUCUUGAA
rnacentral:rRNA from 1 species